UUAAGCGACUAAGCGUACACGGUGGAUGCCCUGGCAGUCAGAGGCGAUGAAGGACGUGCUAAUCUGCGAUAAGCGUCGGUGAGGUGAUAUGAACCGUUAUAACCGGCGAUUUCCGAAUGGGGAAACCCAGUGUGUUUCGACACACUAUCAUUAACUGAAUCCAUAGGUUAAUGAGGCGAACCGGGGGAACUGAAACAUCUAAGUACCCCGAGGAAAAGAAAUCAACCGAGAUUCCCCCAGUAGCGGCGAGCGAACGGGGAGGAGCCCAGAGCCUGAAUCAGUGUGUGUGUUAGUGGAAGCGUCUGGAAAGGCGCGCGAUACAGGGUGACAGCCCCGUACACAAAAAUGCACAUACUGUGAGCUCGAUGAGUAGGGCGGGACACGUGGUAUCCUGUCUGAAUAUGGGGGGACCAUCCUCCAAGGCUAAAUACUCCUGACUGACCGAUAGUGAACCAGUACCGUGAGGGAAAGGCGAAAAGAACCCCGGCGAGGGGAGUGAAAAAGAACCUGAAACCGUGUACGUACAAGCAGUGGGAGCCUCUUAAUGGGGUGACUGCGUACCUUUUGUAUAAUGGGUCAGCGACUUAUAUUCUGUAGCAAGGUUAACCGAAUAGGGGAGCCGAAGGGAAACCGAGUCUUAACUGGGCGUUAAGUUGCAGGGUAUAGACCCGAAACCCGGUGAUCUAGCCAUGGGCAGGUUGAAGGUUGGGUAACACUAACUGGAGGACCGAACCGACUAAUGUUGAAAAAUUAGCGGAUGACUUGUGGCUGGGGGUGAAAGGCCAAUCAAACCGGGAGAUAGCUGGUUCUCCCCGAAAGCUAUUUAGGUAGCGCCUCGUGAAUUCAUCUCCGGGGGUAGAGCACUGUUUCGGCAAGGGGGUCAUCCCGACUUACCAACCCGAUGCAAACUGCGAAUACCGGAGAAUGUUAUCACGGGAGACACACGGCGGGUGCUAACGUCCGUCGUGAAGAGGGAAACAACCCAGACCGCCAGCUAAGGUCCCAAAGUCAUGGUUAAGUGGGAAACGAUGUGGGAAGGCCCAGACAGCCAGGAUGUUGGCUUAGAAGCAGCCAUCAUUUAAAGAAAGCGUAAUAGCUCACUGGUCGAGUCGGCCUGCGCGGAAGAUGUAACGGGGCUAAACCAUGCACCGAAGCUGCGGCAGCGACGCUUAUGCGUUGUUGGGUAGGGGAGCGUUCUGUAAGCCUGUGAAGGUGUGCUGUGAGGCAUGCUGGAGGUAUCAGAAGUGCGAAUGCUGACAUAAGUAACGAUAAAGCGGGUGAAAAGCCCGCUCGCCGGAAGACCAAGGGUUCCUGUCCAACGUUAAUCGGGGCAGGGUGAGUCGACCCCUAAGGCGAGGCCGAAAGGCGUAGUCGAUGGGAAACAGGUUAAUAUUCCUGUACUUGGUGUUACUGCGAAGGGGGGACGGAGAAGGCUAUGUUGGCCGGGCGACGGUUGUCCCGGUUUAAGCGUGUAGGCUGGUUUUCCAGGCAAAUCCGGAAAACCAAGGCUGAGGCGUGAUGACGAGGCACUACGGUGCUGAAGCGACAAAUGCCCUGCUUCCAGGAAAAGCCUCUAAGCAUCAGGUAACAUCAAAUCGUACCCCAAACCGACACAGGUGGUCAGGUAGAGAAUACCAAGGCGCUUGAGAGAACUCGGGUGAAGGAACUAGGCAAAAUGGUGCCGUAACUUCGGGAGAAGGCACGCUGAUAUGUAGGUGAAGCGACUUGCUCGUGGAGCUGAAAUCAGUCGAAGAUACCAGCUGGCUGCAACUGUUUAUUAAAAACACAGCACUGUGCAAACACGAAAGUGGACGUAUACGGUGUGACGCCUGCCCGGUGCCGGAAGGUUAAUUGAUGGGGUUAGCGGUAACGCGAAGCUCUUGAUCGAAGCCCCGGUAAACGGCGGCCGUAACUAUAACGGUCCUAAGGUAGCGAAAUUCCUUGUCGGGUAAGUUCCGACCUGCACGAAUGGCGUAAUGAUGGCCAGGCUGUCUCCACCCGAGACUCAGUGAAAUUGAACUCGCUGUGAAGAUGCAGUGUACCCGCGGCAAGACGGAAAGACCCCGUGAACCUUUACUAUAGCUUGACACUGAACAUUGAGCCUUGAUGUGUAGGAUAGGUGGGAGGCUUUGAAGUGUGGACGCCAGUCUGCAUGGAGCCGACCUUGAAAUACCACCCUUUAAUGUUUGAUGUUCUAACGUUGGCCCGUAAUCCGGGUUGCGGACAGUGUCUGGUGGGUAGUUUGACUGGGGCGGUCUCCUCCUAAAGAGUAACGGAGGAGCACGAAGGUUGGCUAAUCCUGGUCGGACAUCAGGAGGUUAGUGCAAUGGCAUAAGCCAGCUUGACUGCGAGCGUGACGGCGCAAGCAGGUGCGAAAGCAGGUCAUAGUGAUCCGGUGGUUCUGAAUGGAAGGGCCAUCGCUCAACGGAUAAAAGGUACUCCGGGGAUAACAGGCUGAUACCGCCCAAGAGUUCAUAUCGACGGCGGUGUUUGGCACCUCGAUGUCGGCUCAUCACAUCCUGGGGCUGAAGUAGGUCCCAAGGGUAUGGCUGUUCGCCAUUUAAAGUGGUACGCGAGCUGGGUUUAGAACGUCGUGAGACAGUUCGGUCCCUAUCUGCCGUGGGCGCUGGAGAACUGAGGGGGGCUGCUCCUAGUACGAGAGGACCGGAGUGGACGCAUCACUGGUGUUCGGGUUGUCAUGCCAAUGGCACUGCCCGGUAGCUAAAUGCGGAAGAGAUAAGUGCUGAAAGCAUCUAAGCACGAAACUUGCCCCGAGAUGAGUUCUCCCUGAGACUUAGAGUCUCCUGAAGGAACGUUGAAGACGACGACGUUGAUAGGCCGGGUGUGUAAGCGCAGCGAUGCGUUGAGCUAACCGGUACUAAUGAACCGUGAGGCUUAACCUU
rnacentral:rRNA from 1 species